UACGUAGGGGGCAAGCGUUGUCCGGAAUCAUUGGGCGUAAAGAGCGUGUAGGCGGCCCGGUAAGUCCGCUGUGAAAGUCCAGGGCUCAACCCUGGGAUGCCGGUGGAUACUGUCGGGCUCGAGUCCGGAAGAGGAGUGUGGAAUUCCUGGUGUAGCGGUGAAAUGCGCAGAUAUCAGGAGGAAUACCUAUUGCGAAGGCAGCUCGCUGGGACGUAACUGACGCUGAGACGCGAAAGCGUGGGGAGCAAACAGG
rnacentral:rRNA from 1 species